rnacentral:rRNA from 1 species
AUUGAACGCUGGCGGCAUGCUUUACACAUGCAAGUCGAACGGGGUUGGGAGCUUGCUUCCAAUCUAGUGGCGAACGGGUGAGUAAUACAUCGGAACGUACCGUGUAGUGGGGGAUAACGUAGCGAAAGUUACGCUAAUACCGCAUACGAUCCACGGAUGAAAGCAGGGGACCUUCGGGCCUUGUGCUAUACGAGCGGCCGAUGUCUGAUUAGCUAGUUGGUGAGGUAAAGGCUCACCAAGGCGACGAUCAGUAGCGGGUCUGAGAGGAUGAUCCGCCACACUGGGACUGAGACACGGCCCAGACUCCUACGGGAGGCAGCAGUGGGGAAUUUUGGACAAUGGGCGCAAGCCUGAUCCAGCCAUGCCGCGUGUCUGAAGAAGGCCUCGGGUUGGUUAAAGGUACUACUUUCUAGCAGGAACGAAACGGUAGG